UGAGGCCACAGUCGAUAGUGCCAG
rnacentral:misc_RNA from 1 species